rnacentral:rRNA from 1 species
AGCAGCCGCGGUAAUUCCAGCUCCAAUAGCGUAUAUUAAAGUUGUUGCAGUUAAAAGCUCGUAGUUGAAUUUCGGGAUUGACACAUCGGUCGUGCCUUAAGGGGUAUGAACUGGUGUAGUCAAUUUCUCACCUUCUGGAGAACCGCGAUGCCCUUAAUUGGGUGUCACGGGGAACCAGGACCUUUACUUUGAAAAAUUAGAGUGUUUAAAGCAAGCAUUUUGCUUGAAUACAUUAGCAUGGAAUAAUAAAAUAGGACGGCAUGAUUCUAUUUUGUUGGUUUCUAGGAUCACCGUAAUGAUUAAUAGGGAUAGUUGGGGGCAUUAGUAUCCAAUUGUCAGAGGUGAAAUUCUUGGAUUUAUUGAAGACUAACUACUGCGAAAGCAUUUGCCAAGGAUGUUUUCAUUAAUCAAGAACGAAAGUUAGGGGAUCGAAGACGAUCGGAUACCGUCGUAGUCUUAACCAUAAACUAUGCCGACUAGGAAUCAGACGAUGUUAAUUUUUAAUGACUCGUUUGGCACC